GGUACUGCUUAUUCUUUGCACAUCUUUAGAGCUGUUUUUUUCUUCUUUUCAGUUUUCAAACUUUGAUCACAUGGAUAAAAGUGAAAAUAACACAAGUGGGAAAAUGUGUGGAGCACUGCAUGUCACAGAUGGACUAAGGUGACAAGGUUUUGCUGUUACUCACUGAAGCCACUAGGUACGUUCUGCAAAACAACAACAACAACAACAACAAAAGAAGUACAUCUUUUUUUUUAGUUAGUGGGCAUUUGUUACAUCUGCCUAACCUGGACCUCUGUCCCUUUCAGGAUAAUUUGAGAAGACACUCCAGCCACUGCUUCUAGUAACAUUUUGUCCCCUAUCUCCAAAAAAAUAGAAGACUUGUAUGUCGUAGCCAACUAUUUUCUUUUAAUAUAUUUUCCUUUCAUUCCAGAGUUUUGAGACCUAAACUAUGUCUCGUUCCAGUGUUUGAAGAAUAUUGUGGAGUAACGUCCAAGCUGGCACGCAGCAGCAGCUCCAGCCAUGUCACCACUGAAGCUGCUGCUGAAAGCUGGGAAGCCAAUGUGAUAACAAUGGGAUUACUGAUCAGUGGUACUGCAGGUCUUGCAUGUCUUCUACAGAACUAAGAGCUGAGGACAGUGGAAACUUCUCAUGACUGGUGAUAUUAUACACCAAGAAAGACUGGUUUGAGUGUCUGGAGCUGACUGCCUUUGUAUAUAUUCUUCCAUUACACAAGAAAUUGUUUUUGAAUGCAAUCAAAACAUUGACCCUGGAUCCUUUUGCAGUUGACAGUGGUGUUAAGAGUUCUCUGUAGGCCAGCUGAGCAAAAAUAAUGAGACACUGGUGAAAGCUCAAUACCAGGCCUCUUGCUUCUGAAAGGAAAAUCCAGCAAACUGAUUCUUCAGAUCUUGUCUUUCUCUGGUUCUAACACUCAUGAGUUAACAUGUUAUUCAAGAUAUUUUAAAGUACUUUAAUUAAAUAAAUACUACAUUUGCAAAUGUCA
rnacentral:lncRNA from 1 species